CCUACGGGGGGCAGCAGUGGGGAAUAUUGCACAAUGGGGGAAACCCUGAUGCAGCGACGCCGCGUGAGUGAAGAAGUAUUUCGGUAUGUAAAGCUCUAUCAGCAGGGAAGAAAAUGACGGUACCUGAUUAAUAAGCCCCAGCUAACUACGGGCCAGCAGCCGCGGUCAUACGGAGGGGGCAAGCGUUAUCCGGAUUUACUGGGUGUAAAGGGAGCGUAGGCGGCAGCACAAGUCUGGCGUGAAAUACCGGGGGUUAACCCCGGAACUGCUGUGGAAACUGUGCAGCUAGAGUGCAGGAGAGGUAAGUGGAAGUCCUGGUGUAGCGGUGAAAUGCGUAGAUAUCAGGAGGAACACCAGUGGCGAAGGCGGCUUACUGGACUGUAACUGACGCUGAGGCUCGAAAGCGUGGGGAGCAAACAGGAUUAGAUACCCGAGUAGUC
rnacentral:rRNA from 1 species